rnacentral:lncRNA from 1 species
GCUGCACCCUGCGAGCAGGGAACGCAAAGCGCUGCGGGGAGCAGGGAGCCGAGCAGCUCCGAGUCACAGCGGGGCCAGCAACGCCAGCGCUGCUCCGUUUGCUUUGCAAACCCAGUCGGCGUGGUGAGCCGUGCCCGCCCCGCUCCUCCUGCAGCUCAGUUCGCUCUUCUUAUUGAUCGAUUUUCUUUUUUGGGGGGAGAUGCAUUUGCUCCUGACAUCUAGCGGUGCCUCUUUGCAGAGCGCUGAGUCACUCGUGUCCGGUGCAGGAGUCGCUGCCCUCGGGCUGCAGCAGCGCAGCUCCGCUUUCGGGGUUGCAGAGGUGGUCGGUGGGAUGGGGUUGGUGCAUGGCAAGGAGCUCUGAUGAGCGGCUGGGGCUGCAGCAGCUCCUGGUGUGCGGUUUGCAAGGCUCUGCCAGGGUGUGGGGGUGAAGGUGGUGUUGCAGCCCCGCAGGACUUCACCUUGCAGAGCAAAAGGCGAAAUGUGGAUGCUUUCCCCAGAUGCCCGCUGCUCCCCUCCCGUCCCACUGCACGGCAGCAUUAACCACGUCCCUUCCUUCUCUCCACAGUUGUGAAGGAGCCCUGAGCCCGAGCUCACCCACGCCGAUGCCAUGGAGGGGGCUCUGCCCACGCUCCCCCCAGGUAAGACUUGGGGCAGGGGCUGAGCAUUGGGGUCUGUGCUUAGUUAGAGGUCUUCUCCAACCUUAACGACUCCACAAGCUGAAUGACUCCACGAGCAGACGUGGUGGGAUGGGUUGGGGUCGGAUUUGACCUUGGAGGUGUUGUCCCCCAUCUGAAUGAUGAGUGGGCACAGUGGGGUGGGUCGGCAGUUGGCAGGAGAAGGGGUCACCAUCCCCACUGAAAGGGGGGGAGGGGAGAAUCACAGAGCUGCAGGGAUGUGGGGAUGCAUUUGGGUGGGAGGGGGCGAUCUCAGAGGUCUCAUCCAACACCAUUCUGCCAUUCCAUGAGAAGAGCUGACAACGCCGGGGCUGAAGAAAUCUCACCCCCCAGCUCCCCACGAAGCAGCCAACACUGCCGUCAUCGCAGUGGUCAUCACGCUGGUGUUCCUCACCCUGCUGACGGUGCUGGUGGUCAUCGUCAUCUACCUGUACAGAAACAAGGGCAGCUACCUCACCUACGAG